CCAUUUUGAAUUCAGGCUUUAACAACAAAAUGUGGAACAGGUCAAAGUGGUAUAAAUACUUUGACGGGACUGUAUGAAUGUAGAUAAUAGAAAGUGUUGCUGAACAUUUUAUUUGUUUUCGAAUAUUUUAUAAUAAUAAAAAAUAACAUUAAUCUCAGAAGUAAAACUCAAUAGAAAACAGCACUGAUGGUGAUAGAAAUAUAGAUGUUUUAUAACAAAAAUGACAUUACGUCUGGUAAAUGACUCAAAUAUAAAAAGGUACAACUCCAUAGAAAGCACUGGUUAAGAUUGAUAUAGAUGUUUAUGUUUUUGUAUUGGGAAAAAAAAAACAUUCCACCCAGUAGUAAAAUUCAAUGUUUAUUGGCCACACAUCAAAACAGUAUGUUUUUCAUUUCAAGAGGGAAUGUAUAAGGUAUAGACUAUGAAAGUGCAAAUAGUAUUUCAAGGAUUAGUUGCUUUAUAAUAAAAAUCUAAUGGCUUUCAACAACAUUUGCCUUUUUAAAAUUUUUAUAUAUUUUGUAAAAAGUAAAAUGCCAAGAAAAUCCAAAUUCAAAUGUAAUUUCAUGUUUUACUCAUUUCAUGCACAGCUGAAACUGUUACAUCAAGGACAAAUCAAUUAUCAUGACUGAAGUCCCACAAGUUCACCAGCUUCGUGUACGGAACUCACAGCUUGACGUUUGCAAGACCACGCUUCAAUGCAAUAAGUUUCUUCAGCUAUUCUUCAAUAGUCACUUUACAAUUAUGUCCAAUACAAAUCACACUAGGUUUGGCUAAAGAUCAAUUCCUUCCAAUACAAAUCACACUAGGUUUGGCUAAAGAUCAAUUCCAAAAUGUGAAACAUUGAAAUAUCAAUAUCAUUUAUAAUUCAUUAAUACUUUAUAUAGGCAACAAAUCAAUACAACUAUUUUUUCUUUCAAAAUUAGUUAUUCAGUAUAUCUCGAUAUCCAUUUUCAAAUCGUAAUUAGAAACUUUCAAUUUAAUUAAAUACGUCUGUUUUCCCCCCACUGUCCUGCAUUGUGUUUUCUGCUCCAGGAUACAUUUUAUAAAUACUUUUCCCCUAAAAGUCAAACACUCGUUAUCAACUUGUAGAUCAGUUAUCGAACCCACAGAUAAUCCAAGAACAACCCACCAAAGCCCAUCCGCAACGAAAUAACUAACAAACCAGUAAAACAGUAUUCAAUAUCAUCAGGUCAAAAUCAGAGAUGUAAUUUAUAAAACAUUAUAUAAAAUAAAACACUCUGGGGAAAGAACUUGAUACCACACUAAAGAGAGGCUACAAUUAUAAAAAUUUAUUUUUAAAAAAAGUAUCAGGUUUGGACACGUGUUAGUGUUGUGAGUGGAAUUUCUAUAACGUGUGUUUGUAGUUUGUACACUACAUGACCAAAAGUAUGUGGACACCUGCCCGUCCAACAUCUCAUUGCAAAAAACAUGGGUAUUACAUAUGGAGUUGGUCCUCCCCUUUGCUGCUAUAACAGCCUCCUCUCUUCUGGGAAGGCUUUCACUAGAUGUAGGAACAUUGCUGCUAUAACAGCCUCCACUCUUCUAGGAAGGCUUUCCACUAGAUGUUGGAACAUUGCUGCUAUAACAGCCUCCUCUCUUCUAGGAAGGCUUUCCACUAGAGGUUGGAACAUUGCUGCUAUAACAGCCUCCUCUCUUCUAGGAAGGCUUUCCACUAGAUGUUGGAACAUUGCUGCUAUAACAGCCUCCUCUCUUCUGGGAAGGCUUUCCACUAGAUGUUGGAACAUUGCUGCUAUAACAGACUCCUCUCUUCUGGGAAGGCUUUCCACUAGAUGUUGGAACAUUGCUGAGGGGACUUUCUUCCAUUCAGUCACAAGAGCAUUAGUGAGGUCAGUGCAUUGAUGUUGGGCGAUUAGGCCUCCUGGCUCGCAGUCUGCGUUCCAAUUCAUCCCAAAGGUGUUCGAUGGGGUUGAGGUCAGGGCUCUGUGCAGGCCAGUCAAGUUCUUCUACACUGAUCUCGACAAACCAUUUCCGUAUGGACCUCGCUUUGUGAACGGGGGCAUUGUCAUGCUGAAACAGGAAAGGGCCUUCCCCAAAACAUUUGUCUCAAAGUUGGAAGCAGAGAAUCAUCUUGAAUGUCAUUGUCUGCUGUAGCAUUAAGAUUUCCCUUCACUGGAACUAAGGGACCCGAACCAUGGAAAACAGCCCCAGACCAUUAUUCUUCCUCCACCAAACUUUACAGUUGGCACUAUGCAUUCAGGCAGGUAGCGUUCUCCUGGCAUUCGCCAAACCCAGAUUCAUCCGUCAGACUGCCAGAUGGUGAAGCGUUUCCACUACUCCAGAAUCCAAUGGUGGUGAGCUUUACACCACUCCAGCCGACGCUUGGCUUUGCGCAUGGUGAUCUUAGGCUUGUGUGCGGCUGCUCGGCCAUGGAAACCCAUUUCAUGAAGCUCCCAACGAACAGUUCUUGUGCUGACGUUGCUUCCAGAGGCAGUUUGAAACUCGGUAGUGAGUGUUGCAACCGAGGUCAGACGAUUGUUACGUGCCAAGCGCUUCAGCACUCGGGUGGUCCCGUUCUGUGAGCUUAUGUGGCCUACCACUUAGCGGCUGAGCCGCUCUGUAAUAACAGAACUUACAGUUGACCGGGGGGCAGCUCUAGCAGGGCAGAAAUUUGACAAACUGACUUGUUGGAAAGGUGGCAUCCUACGAUGGUGCCACGUUGAACGUCAAUGAGCUCUUCACUAAGGCAAUUCUACUACCAGUGUUUGUCUAUGGAGAUUGCAUGGAGGCAUGCUCAAUUUUAUACACCUGUCGGCAACAGAUGUCUGAAAUAGACGAAUCCACUCAUUUGAAGGGGUGUCCACAUACUUUUGUAUAUAUAGUGUAGCUAGACACGAUUACUUACUGUAAGACCUCUGUAAAAUGUGGCAAUACAUUUAAAAAGAUUGACAUAAAGGCACUGUAAUGAAUUGCGUAGAGAACCAUUUUUUACCCCUCUACUGUAGUUGCUGAGUCCCAUCAAGGCUUAAAACUUUCGUAACAGGUUUAUAUAUAUAUAUCUUUAUAAAACGGGCCGGUUUCCUCAUUCGGCCUAAACCUAGUUCUGGGCUAGAGAGCAGUGGUGAAUGGACAUUCUCCAUUGAAAGUGAUGUUUAGUCCAGGACCAAGGGGUCGUCUGAGAAAGCAGCCCUAUAAUAGUUCAGAAUGAACCAGUGACAUCAUUAUUAGGUAAAAAACAUGAACAACGUAUCUGAUUACAAUUCUCCUCUUAACUACUGUUGUUUUCCUAUUGGAGUGAACAGCAGCAGAUUGUUCCUCUCUAUUGUCCCUUCAGGGCUACUGGCCUCGUCCAUCUUCAUGAAGACAGUCUUCUAAUGGGUUCUAGCCUCGUCCAUCUUCACGAAGACAGUCUUCUAAUGGGUUCUGGCCUCGUCCAUCUUCACGAAGACAGUCUUCUAAUGGGUUCUAGCCUCGUCCAUCUUCACGAAGACAGUCUUCUAAUGGGUUCUGGCCUCGUCCAUCUUCAUGAAGACAGUCUUCUAAUGGGUUCUGGCCUCGUCCAUCUUCAUGAAGACAGUCUUCUAAUGGGUUCUAGCCUCGUCCAUCUUCAUGAAGACAGUCUUCUAAUGGGUUCUAGCCUCGUCCAUGAAGACAGUC
ensembl:lncRNA